AUUGGUAUUUGUGGAAAGAUUGAAAGUUAGUCAUUCAACUCCUGAAUGAUUCAAGAAUAUACAGGUGAUGCUCCUGUGUAAUCAUUGGAGUAUUAAAGAUGGAGGUGGAACCAUUUUCUGAUGAGAAGCAGAAUGUUUUGUUGGAUAUCAAACUGAUGAAAAAUGAAGAUGAAACUUUCACAAUAAC